CAACACGGUGUCCCUGCCUGUACAUCCAGUUUCAGAGUUGAUCUGCGAGAUUGAUGUACAAAACAUAUAGCGAGUCUUGACAUUUUUAAAGAAGUGCAGGGACAGAUGUCAGCGAUUGAACCGCCCCCCCCUCCCUCUGCCCCGCCUCUUCCCCUCCCUAUCAAAGGCCUGGGAGUGCCGGAGUACACAUCAAUCAUCCUGAGUGACAGAUGGUAUUACAUGGACUGUGCCUUCUAAAGUCGACUGCAAGAUGUUAUUCAGAUCUGACUACAUCCCAGUAUGUAACACCCACCAUUCAUUCAUUCAUUCUUUUUCUUUCGGCUAAGUUCCUUUAUUCA